ACGCUAGCGACAGGCUUAACACAUGCAAGUCGAGGGGCAGCGGGGUAGUGCUUGCACUACUGCCGGCGACCGGCGCACGGGUGAGUAACACGUAUGGAACCUGCCCGCAGCAGGGGGAUAAGCGGAAGAAAUUCCGUCUAAUACCGCGUAACAACGUUGGGAGGCAUCUCCCGAUGUUUAAAGAUUUAUCGGCUGCGGAUGGCCAUGCGGCGCAUUAGCUAGUCGGCGGGGUAACGGCCCACCGAGGCGACGAUGCGUAGGGGUUCUGAGAGGAAGGUCCCCCACACUGGUACUGAGACACGGACCAGACUCCUACGGGAGGCAGCAGUGAGGAAUAUUGGUCAAUGGCCGAGAGGCUGAACCAGCCAAGUCGCGUGAGGGAAGACGGCCCUACGGGUUGUAAACCUCUUUUGUCGGGGAGCAAAGAGAGCCACGUGUGGCUCAUUGAGAGUACCCGAAGAAAAAGCAUCGGCUAACUCCGUGCCAGCAGCCGCGGUAAUACGGAGGAUGCGAGCGUUAUCCGGAUUUAUUGGGUUUAAAGGGUGCGCAGGCGGAGGUGCAAGUCAGCGGUCAAAUUGCGGGGCUCAACCCCGUACUGCCGUUGAAACUGCAACCCUUGAGUGCGCGAGAAGUAUGCGGAAUGCGUGGUGUAGCGGUGAAAUGCAUAGAUAUCACGCAGAACUCCGAUUGCGAAGGCAGCAUACCGGCGCGCAACUGACGCUCAUGCACGAAAGCGUGGGUAUCGAACAGGAUUAGAUACCCUGGUAGUCCACGCAGUAAACGAU
rnacentral:rRNA from 1 species